rnacentral:tRNA from 1 species
GGAAGUGUGCCUGAAUUACCAAGGAUUACUUUGAUAGAGUAAAUCACAGAGGUUCAAAUCCUCUCACUUCCC